AGGUACUCACAGUGUGUGUGUGUGUGUGUGUGUGUGUGUGUGUGUGUGUGUGUGUGUGUGUGUGUGUGUGUGUGUGUGUGUGUGCGCAGAAGUGUGACGCAGGUGUGUGAUGAGGUGGAGUGUGUGGAGAAAACUCUGCUGAAGAGACGAGCUGAACUCCGUCAGGUGGACCGACUGCUGCUGGAGGCUCAGAGCUGCAUACGCACUACCAGAGACAAGCAGCAGAAAAGCGCCACAGUUUCUGCUCUGAGAGACGACGAGCUGAAACUCAAUACACACAGAGCAGAGCUGAAACAGGUCCUUCAGGAGUUACUCAUCGAGCAGCAGGCGCUGGAGGGUGUGAAAACCAAACGCACCCAGAGUCUCCGGCGGCUCCACAAGAAGCAGGAACAGCUGGACAAAAUACAGGAAGAGGUGGAGAGGACGAGGGAGGAGCUGUCUGAGCUGCAACAGGAAGUGGAGUCCCACAGAAAGGAGGUGAAACUGCAGCGAACAGAACUGCAGGUCGGUGGAACAGUUCAGUUUAUUCUUGUAACUGCAUGUUCAUGAGCAGGAAAUGUUCUGCUUUAAGCUUCUCAUAGUUUCAUAAAAAUGU
ensembl:lncRNA